rnacentral:rRNA from 1 species
AGUUUGAUCAUGGCUCAGGAUGAACGCUGGCUGCAUGCUUAACACAUGCAAAUGGAGGGGAAACUACUGGGAAGCUUGCUUCCCCGGGCGUCGACCGGCGCACGGGUGAGUAACGCGUAUCCUACCUGCCUCUGAGGGAGGGAUAACCCAUCGAAAGUCUAGCCUAAUACCUCAUGGCAUCGUCUGCGGGCAUCCAACGACGAUUAUAGAUUUCAUCGGUCAGGGAUGGGGAUGCGUCUGAUUAGCUUGUUGGCGGGGUAACGGCCCACCAAGGCGACGAUGGGUAGGGGUUCUGAGAGGAAGGUCCCCCACAUUGGAACUGAGACACGGUCCAAACUCCUACCGGAGGCAACAAUGAUGAAUAUUGGUCAAUGGGCGGGAGCCUGAACCAGCCAAGUAGCGUGCACGAAGACGGCCCUAUGGGUUGUAAACUGCUUUUAUGCGGGGAUAAAGUGAGGGACGUGUCCUUCAUUGCAAGUACCGCGUGAAUAACGACCGGCUACUUCCGUGCCAUCAGCCGCGGUAAUUACGGAAGGUCCGGGCGUUAUCCGGAUUUACUGGGUUUAAAGGGAGCGUAAGCCGUGGAUUAAUCGUGUUGUCAAAUGCAGGUGCUCAACGUCUGCCAUUGCAGCGCGAACUGGUCCACUUGAGUGUGCACAACGCAGGCGGAAUUCGUCCUGUAGCGGUGAAAUGCUUAGAUAUGACGAAGAACUCCGAUUGCGAAGGCAGCUUGCGGGAGCACAACCGACGCUGAAGCUCGAAAGUGCGGGUAUCGAACAGGAUUAGAUACCCUGGUAGUCCGCACGGUAAACGAUGGAUGCCCGUUGUCAGGCUGUUUCAGCCUGGUGACCAAGCGAAAGCAUUAAGCAUCCCACCUGGGGAGUACGCCGGCAACGGUGAAACUCAAAGGAAUUGACGGGGGCCCGCACAAGCGGAGGAACAUGUGGUUUAAUUCGAUGAUACGCGAGGAACCUUACCCGGGCUUGAAUUGCAGACGAAGGCUUCAGAGAUGAAGCGGCCCUUCGGGGCGUCUGUGAAGGUGCUGCAUGGUUGUCGUCAGCUCGUGCCGUGAGGUGUCGGCUUAAGUGCCAUAACGAGCGCAACCCCUUUCUUCAGUUGCCAUCAGGUGAUGCUGGGCACUCUGGAGACACUGCCACCGCAAGGUGUGAGGAAGGUGGGGAUGACGUCAAAUCAGCACGGCCCUUACGUCCGGGGCUACACACGUGUUACAAUGGCCGGUACAGAGAGUUGAUUUUGUGCAAACACGAUCUAAUCCUUAAAUCCGGUCCCAGUUCGGACUGGGGUCUGCAACCCGACCCCACGAAGCUGGAUUCGCUAGUAAUCGCGCAUCAGCCACGGCGCGGUGAAUACGUUCCCGGGCCUUGUACACACCGCCCGUC